rnacentral:tRNA from 1 species
UGCCGAUGGGCGACGAGGCCGUGCCGACGGCUCAGCACGCCGUAUUCGCACAGGCGCUCGAGCCGUUCUAUUCGGCCGUCGGCGU